CAAGAGCGUAUGUAAAAGUUGUUGCAGUUAAAAAGCUCGUAGUUGAACCUUGGGUUUGGUUGGCCGGUCCGCUUUUUUGCGAGUACUGGAUUCAACCGAGCCUUUCCUUCUGGCUAACCAGUCGUUUCGGCGGCUGGCGAACCAGGAUUUUUACUUUGAGAAAAUUAGAGUGUUCAAAGCAGGCAUUAGCUUGAAUAUAAUAGCAUGGAAUAAUAGAAUAGGACGUUAUGGUUCUAUUUUGUUGGUUUCUAGGACCAUCGUAAUGAUUAAUAGGGACGGUCGGGGGCAUCAGUAUUCAGUUGUCAGAGGUGAAAUUCUUGGAUUUACUGAAGACUAACUACUGCGAAAGCAUUUGCCAAGGACGUUUUCAUUAA
rnacentral:rRNA from 1 species